UACGGAGGGUGCGAGCGUUGUCCGGAAUUAUUGGGCGUAAAGAGCGUGUAGGCGGUCCGGUAAGUCAGCUGUGAAAGUCAAGGGCUCAACCCUUGAAUGCCGGUUGAUACUGUCGGGCUAGAGUCCGGAAGAGGCGAGUGGAAUUCCCGGUGUAGCGGUGAAAUGCGCAGAUAUCGGGAAGGAACACCAAUGGCGAAGGCAGCUCGCUGGGACGUGACUGACGCUGAGACGCGAAAGCGUGGGGAGCAAACAGG
rnacentral:rRNA from 1 species